rnacentral:rRNA from 1 species
UAGUUCGAUCCUGGCUCAGGAUGAACGCUAGCUACAGGCUUAACACAUGCAAGUCGAGGGGCAGCAUGGUCUUAGCUUGCUAAGGCCGAUGGCGACCGGCGCACGGGUGAGUAACACGUAUCCAACCUGCCUUAUACUCCCGGACAGCCUUCUGAAAGGAAGAUUAAUACGGGAUGGUAUCACGAGCCAGCAUUUUCUCGUGAUUAAAGAACUUCGGUAUAAGAUGGGGAUGCGUUCCAUUAGAUAGUAGGCGGGGUAACGGCCCACCUAGUCUACGAUGGAUAGGGGUUCUGAGAGGAAGGUCCCCCACAUUGGAACUGAGACACGGUCCAAACUCCUACGGGAGGCAGCAGUGAGGAAUAUUGGUCAAUGGGCGCGAGCCUGAACCAGCCAAGUGGCGUGAAGGAUGACUGCCCUACGGGUUGUAAACUUCUUUUAUAAAGGAAUAAAGUGAGGCACGUGUGCCUUUUUGUAUGUACUUUAUGAAUAAGGAUCGGCUAACUCCGUGCCAGCAGCCGCGGUAAUACGGAGGAUCCGAGCGUUAUCCGGAUUUAUUGGGUUUAAAGGGAGCGUAGAUGGGUUGUUAAGUCAGUUGUGAAAGUUUGCGGCUCAACCGUAAAAUUGCAAUUGAUACUGGCAGCCUUGAGUACAGUUGAGGUAGGCGGAAUUCGUGGUGUAGCGGUGAAAUGCUUAGAUAUCACGAAGAACUCCGAUUGCGAAGGCAGCCUACUAAACUGCCACUGACAUUGAUGCUCGAAAGUGUGGGUAUCAAACAGGAUUAGAUACCCUGGUAGUCCACACGGUAAACGAUGAAUACUCGCUGUUUGCGAUACUCUGCAAGCGGCCAAGCGAAAGCGUUAAGUAUUCCACCUGGGGAGUACGCCGGCAACGGUGAAACUCAAAGGAAUUGACGGGGGCCCGCACAAGCGGAGGAACAUGUGGUUUAAUUCGAUGAUACGCGAGGAACCUUACCCGGGCUUGAAUUGCACUCGAAUAUAGCGGAAACGUUAUAGCUAGCAAUAGCGAGUGUGAAGGUGCUGCAUGGUUGUCGUCAGCUCGUGCCGUGAGGUGUCGGCUUAAGUGCCAUAACGAGCGCAACCCUUGUCUAUAGUUACUAACAGGUCAUGCUGAGGACUCUAUGGAGACUGCCAUCGUAAGAUGUGAGGAAGGUGGGGAUGACGUCAAAUCAGCACGGCCCUUACGUCCGGGGCCACACACGUGUUACAAUGGGGGGUACAGAGGGCCGCUACCACGCAAGUGGAUGCCAAUCCCGAAAGCCUCUCUCAGUUCGGACUGGAGUCUGCAACCCGACUCCACGAAGCUGGAUUCGCUAGUAAUCGCGCAUCAGCCAUGGCGCGGUGAAUACGUUCCCGGGCCUUGUACACACCGCCCGUCAAGCCAUGGGAGCCGGGGGUACCUGAAGUGCGUAACCGCAAGGAGCGCCCUAGGGUAAAACUGGUGACUGGGGCUAAGUCGUAACAAGGUAACC